GGUUAUCUCAAAGGUGGUGCAGAUUGUUUGCAUUUAAUAAUUAACAAGCCAUCCUUGCCACCUAUUAAAAGGAAAAUUUGUUAAAGUAAAGAAGUGUUUCGCCUUCUUAUUUAUCAAUGAAACCUGGUGUGAUUUAUUUUACCUUAGGUAGUGGUCACAGUCAGGCAAACUUGCCUUCCUGGUGAAGAUAUUGGUCAUAUUUAUCCUGUAAUAGUGGGGCUUGAAUUCCAGCUCACUCCUCCCCUCAGGGUCAUGACAAUCUUAAACAAGUAAUCCAACUCUCCCCAGUGUAAAAUAUAGACAAGCAGGAACAAAGUUUGUUGAUGAGCAGAUGACAUGAUAGUGGAUGGAGGAGAUGGAGAGAGACGUGACUUGUCGGCGGGCUUUUGGAGGUUUGAGAUCCCACUACACUCUCAACCGUGUGACAAACCUGCGACUUAAAAAUCAAACCGAGAACUGUUGCUGGGUCAUUUUUGUUUUAACCCGAAGACAGCUGCUGCCAACUGCUCUCACAAAAGUAUCAAAACUCCAGCCUGUAUUUGAGGGAGUGCAAACCUGAAUCUUUGAGGGUCCUAUAUAUUAACCCUUUUGGCUCAUUACCAGCUUCUUGAUUAUGUUGACCUUGUCCAGUGUAGGGCGACCCCCGUAUCCAUGGAAUCGUUUUUCACGGUUUCAGUUACUCACAGUUUACCGCGGCCCCAGCAUAUUUUAAGGAACCUUCUGGAACCAGGGACCAGGAAGCUGCCGGGAAGGCACGUUUCCCACUGAAAUGAAUGGGUUCGCUCCUAUCCACGGUUUCAGGCUACCACGUUAGGACUUGGAAUGUAUCCCUUGUGGGUCCGAGGGGGGAGGGUCUACUGUACUGCCUAAAACCUAACUGGGAAUUCUCAGAGAGAAUGGAAACAGGGCAUCAGAAAGAUUCCAGACUACUGAGGAGCUUGCUUGCUAAUCUUGACCAUCAAAGUGAGGGAUCAAGGGAAAGCAGACUGCAACAAUGUACUCAGGAUGUCUGCGGUAAAACUGACUGCUCAUCAUCAGCAAACAAUUCAAAAACCGGGGGAGAAGCAAACAUGAGUGGACUUUGCGUGUAUUUAAUUGGUAAUUGCAUUGUUCAGUGCUGCCCAAUCAUAAGCCUGGUUUGGAUAUUGCCUUGUGCAUUUGAUUUUUAAGUAAACAUUCUUUGCUUGUUA